CGUGUAGGCGGUCUGGUAAGUGGGAUGUGAAAUGCCCCGGCUCACCCGGGGACCUGCAUCCCAAACUACCUGGCUUGAGUAUGGGAGAGGAUGAGGGAAUUCCUGGUGUAGCGGUGAAAUGCGUAGAUAUCAGGAGGAACACCGGUGGCGAAAGCGCUCAUCUGGCCCAAUACUGACGCUGAGGCGCGAAAGCUAGGGAGCAAACG
rnacentral:rRNA from 1 species